CGCGGCCUAUCAGCUUGUUGGUGAGGUAACGGCUCACCAAGGCAUCGACGGGUAGCUGGUCUGAGAGGACGAUCAGCCACACUGGGACUGAGACACGGCCCAGACUCCUACGGGAGGCAGCAGUAGGGAAUCUUGCGCAAUGGGCGAAAGCCUGACGCAGCAACGCCGCGUGGGGGAUGAAUGCCUUCGGGUUGUAAACCCCUUUCAGCAGGGACGAAAAUGACGGUACCUGCAGAAGAAGCUCCGGCCAACUACGUGCCAGCAGCCGCGGUAAUACGUAGGGAGCGAGCGUUGUCCGGAAUUAUUGGGCGUAAAGAGCUCGUAGGCGGUUCAGUAAGUCGGGUGUGAAAACUCAAGGCUCAACCUUGAGACGCCACUCGAUACUGCUGUGACUUGAGUCCGGUAGAGGAGUGUGGAAUUCCUGGUGUAGCGGUGAAGUGCGCAGAUAUCAGGAGGAACACCAGCGGCGAAGGCGGCACUCUGGGCCGGUACUGACGCUGAGGAGCGAAAGCAUGGGGAGCAAACAGGAUUAGAUACCCUGGUAGUCCAUGCCGUAUACGUUGGGCACUAGGUAUGGGACCAUAUCAACGGGUUCCGUGCCGUAGCUAACGCAUUAAGUGCCCCGCCUGGGGAGUACGG
rnacentral:rRNA from 1 species